UACAGAGGGUGCGAGCGUUAAUCGGAAUUACUGGGCGUAAAGCGCGCGUAGGCGGCUUUUCAAGUCGAUUGUGAAAUCCCCGGGCUUAACCUGGGAACUGCAGUCGGAGACUGUCUAGCUAGAGUAUGGGGAGAGGGAAGUGGAAUUUCAGGUGUAGCGGUGAAAUGCGUAGAUAUCGGAAGGAACAUCAGUGGCGAAAGCGACUUCCUGGACCAAUACUGACGCUCAUGUGCGAAAGCGUGGGGAGCAAACAGGG
rnacentral:rRNA from 1 species